GAGUUUGAUCUUGGCUCAGAACGAACGCUGGCGGCAGGCCUAACACAUGCAAGUCGAACGCUGUAGCAAUACAGAGUGGCAGACGGGUGAGCAACACGUGGGAAUCUUCCUAUCGGUACGGAAUAGCUCAGGGAAACUUGGGGUAAUACCGCAUACGCCCUUCGGGGAAGGAUUUAUCGCCGAUAGAUGAGCCCGCGUCUGAUUAGCUAGUUGGUGAGGUAAUGGCUCACCAAGGCGACGAUCAGUAGCUGGUCUGAGAGGAUGACCAGCCACACUGGGACUGAGACACGGCCCAGACUCCUACGGGAGGCAGCAGUGGGGAAUAUUGGACAAUGGGCGCAAGCCUGAUCCAGCCAUGCCGCGUGAGUGACGAAGGUCUUCGGAUUGUAAAGCUCUUUUGCCAGGGACGAUAAUGACGGUACCUGGAGAAUAAGCCCCGGCUAACUUCGUGCCAGCAGCCGCCGUAAC
rnacentral:rRNA from 2 species